AGCGAACGCUGGCGGCAGGCUUAACACAUGCAAGUCGAACGGGCACCUUCGGGUGUCAGUGGCAGACGGGUGAGUAACACGUGGGAACGUGCCCUUCGGUUCGGAACAACUCAGGGAAACUUGAGCUAAUACCGGAUACGCCCUUACGGGGAAAGAUUUAUCGCUGAAGGAGCGGCCCNCGUCUGAUUAGCUAGUUGGUGAGGUAAUGGCUCACCAAGGCGACGAUCAGUAGCGGUCUGAGAGGAUGAUCAGCCACACUGGGACUGAGACACGGCCCAGACUCCUACGGGAGGCAGCAGUGGGGAAUAUUGGACAAUGGGCGAAAGCCUGAUCCAGCCAUGCCGCGUGAGUGAUGAAGGCCUUAGGGUUGUAAAG
rnacentral:rRNA from 1 species